AUAUGCUAACAUCCUACCUCAUCC
rnacentral:siRNA from 1 species